UGAACUGCAGGACACAUGAACACCGAUAAGUUGAACGCAUAUGGCGCAUCGGACGUUUCAACCCGACCGAUGCACACAUCCUUGAGU
rnacentral:rRNA from 1 species